CACAUAAUAUACGUGUGUUGGAAAGGAAAUAUAUGAGUGAAAAGCACUACCGAAUGAUCGAACGAGUCUUCCACACGCUGCCCUGCCAACUACAUUUUUAUGCUAAUCUGGUAAUGGUUAACUGAUGUAAUGUUUAAUUUCUUUAGUCGUCUGUGAUACAUUGCACCAUUCGGGCAUUGCGGCUCAUCCUGCUUUGGGUGCUGCAGGUGUGUAGGCGUUGCUUGCCUUGGUGAAGGUCCUAUGUAGCUGAAGGUGAGAUAGUGAAUAGUCGAAGCCGAUCCAGGGUACGUUUCAACACUCCAAAGCAUGGCUCGGCCAAGGCUUAGUGAGUUGUGUGCCGCUGUCGUCUCUCCUUAAGGUUAAGGUGGUGGUGGUAGUAGUUCUGGUUCUGUGUAAUUGUAUUAUAGUUUCAGUGGUUGGUAUUUUAUAUUUUGAGGAAAUUCAUAAAGAAUCGCAUAUAUUUAAUGUCCUUGUUUAAUUCUUCACAGUUCUACGAUUCAACAGUCGCUGAUCACGGAGUGAAGUAUCGCUUGAAUAAGGAGAGCUUGUCGCCCUAGCAGCCGUUGAGUGAGGUUUGUGAUGGGGCAGGAAUGUAUCACCACCACCGUUUGGUGCGGAGUCACUCUUUUCCAUUACAAUUUGAUUAAUUUAAUAAAGGUUGUUUUGGGGA